GAAUGGUUGGACGAGAAAUAGUCUGUCUUAAUUAAAGAUAUUGAAUUUAACUUUUAAGUGAAAAGGCUUAAAUAAUCUGAAGGGACGAUAAGACCCUAUAAAACUUUAUAUUUGAAGGUAGAGGAAAGUUUUAUUUAAGAGUUACUAUUUAAAAAUAUUUGGUUGGGGCGACAAGGAUAAAAUAUUAGAUAACUGUCUUUUUUUUUUACAAUGAUAUUUGGUUUAAUGAUCCUAAAAGGGAUUAAAGAUUAAGUUACUUUAGGGAUAACAGCGUAAUUUUCUUUGAGAGUUCUUAUCGACAGGAAAGUUUGCGACCUCGAUGUUGAAUUAAAGGUUCUUUAUAGGGUAGAGGCUAUAAUAGAAGGUCUGUUCGACCUUUAAAAUUUUACAUGAUU
rnacentral:rRNA from 1 species